rnacentral:rRNA from 1 species
AACGAACGCUGGCGGCAGGCUUAACACAUGCAAGUCGAACGCUCCGCAAGGGGAGUGGCGGACGGGUGAGUAACGCGUGGGAACGUGCCCUAAGGUAUGGAAUAACUUCGGGAAACUGAAGCUAACACCAUAUGUGACCGAGAGGUGAAAGUUUAUCGCCUUAGGAUCGGCCCGCGUCAGAUUAGCUAGUUGGUGGGGUAAUGGCCUACCAAGGCGACGAUCGGUAGCUGUUCUGAGAGGAAGAUCAGCCACACUGGGACUGAGACACGGCCCAGACUCCUACGGGGGGCAGCAGUGGGGAAUCUUGGAAAAUGGGCGCAAGCCUGAUCCAGCCAUGCCGCGUGGAUGAUGAAGGCCCUAGGGUUGUAAAAUCCUUUCGUUGGGGACGAUAAUGACGGUACCCAAGGAAGAAGCUCCGGCUAACUUCGUGCCAGCCGCCGCGGUAA